rnacentral:sRNA from 1 species
GUCCUCGAUCUGCUGCGGGCAGAUGAAAUGGAUAUGGCUGUCGAUGGCCCCGGCGGUCAGGAUCUUGCCCUCGCCCGCGAUCGCUUCCGUGCCCGGGCCGACGAUGAUGGUGACGCCGGGCUGCGUGUCCGGAUUGCCGGCCUUGCCGAUGGCGUGGAUCCGCCCGCCGCGAAGCCCCACAUCGGCCUUGUAGAUGCCGGAGUGAUCGACGAUCAGCGCAUUGGUGAUGACGGUAUCGACUGCGCCUUCGGCCCGGCUCGCCUGGCUUUGGCCCAUGCCGUCGCGGAU